rnacentral:rRNA from 1 species
AUGCUUGUCAAGAGACAGAAGGUACCUGUCGCGGCCAUUUCAACAAACCCAGUGUCAGUAUUUUACCGAAGCAUCAGAACCCACACGGGAAAAUUCCCAAGGAAUGAAGAAGAGGUCCAGCGGAAUCACCAGGCCACGAGCUGCAAGCCCUUCGCCCGGGCCGCCUCCACUCCUCCAGAUGCUGCUGCGGGGGCGGAGUUGCAGCAGGAGGCUGCGUGGAGAGUCUGGAGCCGCGCGAGGCGGCCGCCGCCCUUCAGGGGCUCGACGGGGGCAGGGGCGGGAGCGGCGGUGGACAGGGGAGCGGAGAGGGAAAGGAAGCGGCCCGCUGCAGCGGGUCUCGGAGAGACGAUGGGGCGGGGCACGAGGAGGAGCGGGAGCGCGGACGCCAUCGCCAUGGAAGAGGAUGAGGAGGAGCUUUGGGUUUUGGGAAUCGUGCUAGGGUUCUAG